rnacentral:rRNA from 1 species
GAUGAACGCUAGCGGCAGGCCUAAUACAUGCAAGUCGAGGGGUAGAGGGAGCUUGCUCUCUUGAGACCGGCGCACGGGUGCGUAACGCGUAUGCAACCUACCUCUAUCUGGGGGAUAGCCCGAAGAAAUUCGGAUUAACACCGCAUAAAAUCACAGAACGGCAUCGUUCAAUGAUCAAAUAUUUAUAGGAUGGAGAUGGGCAUGCGUGUCAUUAGUUAGUUGGCGGGGUAACGGCCCACCAAGACCGCGAUGACUAGGGGAUCUGAGAGGAUGGCCCCCCACACUGGUACGGAGACACGGACCAGACUCCUACGGGAGGCAGCAGUAAGGAAUAUUGGUCAAUGGAGGCAACUCUGAACCAGCCAUGCCGCGUGCAGGAAGACAGCCCUCUGGGUCGUAAACUGCUUUUAUUCGGGAAUAAACCUGCUUACGUGUAAGUAGCUGAAUGUACCGAAGGAAUAAGGAUCGGCUAACUCCGUGCCAGCCGCCGCCGUAAGAC